rnacentral:lncRNA from 1 species
UUACACAGGUCGAGAACUCUAGAUUUUCUGACGUCAGAAUAUAUUUGCAUAGUAAUUUCCAAAACACAAGGCCAAUAUGGCCUUGAAAAACUGACCAAUCGACUCAAUGAACUACAAUGCAUUGUGGGCUACUACGAGUAAACUACUACUUAAAACACGUGGAAUUAGUGGGAAAACAGUCAAUUAAUAUAUUGUCUGGGACUCUCAUUACCAAAGUUUUUAUUCUGCAAAUAUAUUUAAUGUAAAAUAUAUAACGUAAUCUUCAAUUUGCAUGCUCAGAUUAAAAAAAUAUUGUUUAUUGGCUUCACGAUUCGACUUUCUUUUUCGCCUUGCAAAAGUAGUUGAACCGGUUUUGUGCAUUGUUAUGAACCUGCAUUAAUUUCACGACAUGACACAGUGAAAUAUCCAAUGAAGUGACCACUGUCCAGUAAGAAAAUCAUUUGAGCUCUUUUAAACCUGUAUAAUGUCAUUGCAAAAUCAUUUCUGCCUAGAAAAACACGAAACUUUCAUUGAAACACUUCUUUCUGUACUGAAUGUGUAUUUUUUUUUAUCAGGACCUGAACUAAUAGUAAGAACAUCAUAAUAUUCAGUAUGCUAAAAAGAAGUGUUAUGAAAGCGGCAGGGGCGGGUCCAGCCAUUUUAAAAAAGGGGGGUCCUAACCCUGGACAAAAGGGGAGGGGGUUCCAACUACAUGUCCCCAUCCAAAUGCACUGAUCGUCCAAAAAAAGGGGGUCCAUCCCCCGGAACCCCCGCCCCCUGGAUCCGCCACUGAGCGGGUACGGUAUAUAGCUCAAUACAUUUUUUAUAGUUUCAUCCAUCGAUAAUAUCCGUUUGUUGCUAAUUUUAUCACAAAAUAUACCUCAGAGGUUUUUUUAUCGUUCGGCUGCUGUCCUGUUGACAUAUGUAAAAUAUCUCCAAUAUUAAAAGUCUCUGGAUCAUAGUGGGUGCCAUAUUACCUAUUAUUUUUUUUUCUAAAACGUGCUUUGUAUAUAGAAAUAAGAAGAUGAGGUAUGAGUGCCAAAUGAGACAUCUUUUCCAACAAAGACAUAAUUUAGUAAAGUAAGCAGUCAUAGGUCCAAUGCUGAAAAGUAAGCUAUUAAUGACCCAAAAAUUACUUGUGUAAAACAAUCCAAACAAAAAAAAAAACAAAAAAAAAAAAAACCGGCCCAAUUAAAUAUAUAAAAGGACAAGAAAUCUAUCCCAUCAAAAAAAAAUAUAUUGUAU